rnacentral:rRNA from 1 species
GCUUAUCACCAUUCCAGAUUGAAUAUACCCGAUCUCGUCUGAUCUCGGAAGUCCACCAAUAUCGGGCUUGGUUAGUACUUGGAUGGGUGACCGCUUGGGAAUACCAAGUGUGAUAAGCA